UAUCGAGCAUUGUACACAUUAAUAAAUUUCUUAUAAAUUGCUUAGUAAUUGCUUAAUAAAGGAGCCGUCCUGACUUUCGUAUUUGUCUGUUCUAAGUCACUUCUGCAACGGAACGCGUCUUACCGGCGUUUCCACCACAGAACAAACAGCUUGACAAAGGCGAGGGUGUACGCCAAGGUAAGACCAAGACAGUCCAUGAGAAGCGGAAUGUCGCUCAAGUCGAAAUGCGCGAGAACGUACGCAUACUGGAAAUACUGCACUAUCACCAUCGUCGUCAUGUAGAUUAACCAACAGAAAGUCGAGUAAGCCGAAUCCGGCCACAUGCCGAUGAAACGAAAGACAAUCUCGAUAGGACGGCUGAUGGUGCUUGUGCGUUUCAUCGCUCCGCGACAAUCGCUGAACAUUUCGAAUCGGCUAUCGAGAUGUCAAUGCACCAAAGCGCUUAAGAAACUUCAUUCGACGAGGCGCACAUGUGCGUCGUUCGCUGAAUAAUCGUAGAAAGAACGACAAAGCGCAGGUCUUUCUGAACAUCGAUCAGUCGUAAUUAUACGUCGACGAUUUCAAUCUCAUUACUUCUUGAAAACUUAUAAGUAUACCGAAUGAAAAACAGAAAUAAACAUUUCUAAACCCGAAGAUUAUUUCUAUGCGCUUCUAUCCAACAGAAAAAAAGCUUUGCACGAUAUCUUCAAACAAAAUCUUAAUGUCCAUGGGCAGAAAACAAAGGUAGUAUUGGAAGGAAAAGUACAGAAAGCGUCCAAUGCACGGAGAAGGAUUGUUACUAUCUACGUUCCGCUUCAGCGCAGUCGGCAAGAAUUUCUGCGCAAUUCACGUAAACUUACGGUCGUGAAACCUUCCAAGGACAAAUCCGUCAUCUUGC